GAUGAACGCUGGCGGCGUGCCUAACACAUGCAAGUCGAGCGAUUCUCUUCGGAGAAGAGCGGCGGACGAGUGAGUAACGCGUGGGUAACCUGCCCUGUACACACGGAUAACAUACCGAAAGGUAUGCUAAUACGAGAUAAUAUACUUUUAUCGCAUGGUAGAAGUAUCAAAGCUUUUGCGGUACAGGAUGGACCCGCGUCUGAUUAGCUAGUUGGUAAGGUAACGGCUUACCAAGGCGACGAUCAGUAGCCGACCUGAGAGGGUGAUCGGCCACAUUGGAACUGAGACACGGUCCAAACUCCUACGGGAGGCAGCAGUGGGGAAUAUUGCACAAUGGGCGAAAGCCUGAUGCAGCAACGCCGCGUGAGCGAUGAAGGCCUUCGGGUCGUAAAGCUCUGUCCUCAAGGAAGAUAAUGACGGUACUUGAGGAGGAAGCCCCGGCUAACUACGUGCCAGCCGCCGCGGUAAAAC
rnacentral:rRNA from 1 species